rfam:Schistosoma margrebowiei strain Zambia genome assembly, scaffold: SMRZ_contig0000210
GCACUGCUGAAGAUUCCCAUACUAGGACGAAACGGCCGUCCAGUAU